rnacentral:rRNA from 1 species
UUAAGCGACUAAGCGUACACGGUGGAUGCCCUGGCAGUCAGAGGCGAUGAAGGACGUGCUAAUCUGCGAAAAGCGUCGGUAAGGUGAUAUGAACCGUUAUAACCGGCGAUGUCCGAAUGGGGAAACCCAGUGCAAUUCGUUGCACUAUCGUUAACUGAAUACAUAGGUUAACGAGGCGAACCGGGGGAACUGAAACAUCUAAGUACCCCGAGGAAAAGAAAUCAACCGAGAUUCCCCCAGUAGCGGCGAGCGAACGGGGAGCAGCCCAGAGUCUGAAUCAGCUUGUGUGUUAGUGGAACGGUCUGGAAAGUCCGACGGUACAGGGUGAUAGUCCCGUACACCAAAAUGCACAGGCUGUGAACUCGAAGAGUAGGGCGGGACACGUGGUAUCCUGUCUGAAUAUGGGGGGACCAUCCUCCAAGGCUAAAUACUCCUGACUGACCGAUAGUGAACCAGUACCGUGAGGGAAAGGCGAAAAGAACCCCGGCGAGGGGAGUGAAAAAGAACCUGAAACCGUGUACGUACAAGCAGUGGGAGCACCUUUAUGGUGUGACUGCGUACCUUUUGUAUAAUGGGUCAGCGACUUAUAUUCUGUAGCAAGGUUAACCGUAUAGGGGAGCCGCAGAGAAACCGAGUCUUAACUGGGCGUUAAGUUGCAGGGUAUAGACCCGAAACCCGGUGAUCUAGCCAUGGGCAGGUUGAAGGUUGGGUAACACUAACUGGAGGACCGAACCGACUAAUGUUGAAAAAUUAGCGGAUGACUUGUGGCUGGGGGUGAAAGGCCAAUCAAACCGGGAGAUAGCUGGUUCUCCCCGAAAGCUAUUUAGGUAGCGCCUCGUGAAUUCAUCUUCGGGGGUAGAGCACUGUUUCGGCUAGGGGGUCAUCCCGACUUACCAACCCGAUGCAAACUACGAAUACCGAAGAAUGUUAUCACGGGAGACACACGGCGGGUGCUAACGUCCGUCGUGAAGAGGGAAACAACCCAGACCGCCAGCUAAGGUCCCAAAGUCAUGGUUAAGUGGGAAACGAUGUGGGAAGGCACAGACAGCCAGGAUGUUGGCUUAGAAGCAGCCAUCAUUUAAAGAAAGCGUAAUAGCUCACUGGUCGAGUCGGCCUGCGCGGAAGAUGUAACGGGGCUAAACCAUGCACCGAAGCUGCGGCAGCGACACUAUGUGUUGUUGGGUAGGGGAGCGUUCUGUAAGCCUGCGAAGGUGACCUGUGAGGGUUGCUGGAGGUAUCAGAAGUGCGAAUGCUGACAUAAGUAACGAUAAAGCGGGUGAAAAGCCCGCUCGCCGGAAGACCAAGGGUUCCUGUCCAACGUUAAUCGGGGCAGGGUGAGUCGACCCCUAAGGCGAGGCCGAAAGGCGUAGUCGAUGGGAAACAGGUUAAUAUUCCUGUACUUGGUGUUACUGCGAAGGGGGGACGGAGAAGGCUAUGUUAGCCGGGCGACGGUUGUCCCGGUUUAAGCAUGUAGGCUGGUUAUCCAGGCAAAUCCGGAUAAUCAAGGCUGAGGUGUGAUGACGAGGCACUACGGUGCUGAAGUAACAAAUGCCCUGCUUCCAGGAAAAGCCUCUAAGCAUCAGGUAACAUCAAAUCGUACCCCAAACCGACACAGGUGGUCAGGUAGAGAAUACCAAGGCGCUUGAGAGAACUCGGGUGAAGGAACUAGGCAAAAUGGUGCCGUAACUUCGGGAGAAGGCACGCUGGUGUGUAGGUGAAGUCCCUGCGGAUGGAGCUGAGACCAGUCGAAGAUACCAGCUGGCUGCAACUGUUUAUUAAAAACACAGCACUGUGCAAACACGAAAGUGGACGUAUACGGUGUGACGCCUGCCCGGUGCCGGAAGGUUAAUUGAUGGGGUUAUCCGUAAGGAGAAGCUCUUGAUCGAAGCCCCGGUAAACGGCGGCCGUAACUAUAACGGUCCUAAGGUAGCGAAAUUCCUUGUCGGGUAAGUUCCGACCUGCACGAAUGGCGUAAUGAUGGCCAGGCUGUCUCCACCCGAGACUCAGUGAAAUUGAACUCGCUGUGAAGAUGCAGUGUACCCGCGGCAAGACGGAAAGACCCCGUGAACCUUUACUAUAGCUUGACACUGAACAUUGAGCCUUGAUGUGUAGGAUAGGUGGGAGGCUUUGAAGCGUGGACGCCAGUCUGCGUGGAGCCAACCUUGAAAUACCACCCUUUAAUGUUUGAUGUUCUAACGUUGGCCCCUUAUCGGGGUUGCGGACAGUGUCUGGUGGGUAGUUUGACUGGGGCGGUCUCCUCCCAAAGCGUAACGGAGGAGCACGAAGGUUAGCUAAUCCUGGUCGGACAUCAGGAGGUUAGUGCAAUGGCAUAAGCUAGCUUGACUGCGAGCGUGACGGCGCGAGCAGGUGCGAAAGCAGGUCAUAGUGAUCCGGUGGUUCUGAAUGGAAGGGCCAUCGCUCAACGGAUAAAAGGUACUCCGGGGAUAACAGGCUGAUACCGCCCAAGAGUUCAUAUCGACGGCGGUGUUUGGCACCUCGAUGUCGGCUCAUCACAUCCUGGGGCUGAAGUAGGUCCCAAGGGUAUGGCUGUUCGCCAUUUAAAGUGGUACGCGAGCUGGGUUUAGAACGUCGUGAGACAGUUCGGUCCCUAUCUGCCGUGGGCGCUGGAGAAUUGAGGGGGGCUGCUCCUAGUACGAGAGGACCGGAGUGGACGCAUCACUGGUGUUCGGGUUGUCAUGCCAAUGGCACUGCCCGGUAGCUAAAUGCGGAAGAGAUAAGUGCUGAAAGCAUCUAAGCACGAAACUUGCCCCGAGAUGAGUUCUCCCUGAGACUUUAAGUCUCCUGAAGGAACGUUAAAGACGAUGACGUUGAUAGGCCGGGUGUGUAAGCGCAGCGAUGCGUUGAGCUAACCGGUACUAAUGAACCGUGAGGCUUAACCU